rnacentral:misc_RNA from 1 species
UUUCCGUAGGUGAACCUGCGGAAGGAUCAUUACCGAGCUCAUGCCCCCCGGGGUAGACCUCCACCCGUGUGUAUCUCCUAGUGUUGCUUUGGCGGUUGCCCCCAACCGCCAGAGGCCGAAACCCUGAUAGUUAGCGUUGUCCGAGUACCAUAUAAUAAUAAGUUAAAACUUUCAACAACGGAUCUCUUGGUUCUG